rnacentral:rRNA from 1 species
ACGCUCGACACCUACGGGAGGCAGCAGUGGGGAAUAUUGCACAAUGGGGGAAACCCUGAUGCAGCGACGCCGCGUGAAGGAAGAAGUAUCUCGGUAUGUAAACUUCUAUCAGCAGGGAAGAAAAUGACGGUACCUGACUAAGAAGCCCCGGCUAACUACGUGCCAUCAGCCGCGGUAAUCUGAGCGGGCUGGCAAGGC